rnacentral:lncRNA from 1 species
CACAACCUGUUGAAGGGUUGUCUCUCUGACUGGGUGUCUCUUUGAAGAGCUUUGAAGGAGACUCUCUGACUGAGGGGUGUCACAAACAUCCUUGUAGCUGGUGUGCACAUGCCAGGCUCACCUUGAGGCUGUCGUCCUCAUUCAAGCAAGUUUCACCCUGAUGUACAAGUGAAUCCCCACUGGUGGCCACUUGAUGAAGCGCCACGCUCCCGCACUGUGAUUUUGUGCAAGGCGGCCAGCUGUCUACCCACAUGAACAUAUUCAUCUGUCAGGUGGUCCAAGUCUCUGGCCUUUUUUUUUCUUUCUCCACUUCGCUCCUCUCUGGAGGGUCCAGAGCUGUGCUCAGCAGAAAUCCAGCUAACGGCCAUGACGUCGGGACAGGACAGUCUGCAGGGCCUCGGACAUGGACUCCACUGAAAGCCGUGCACAGUUUACAGCAGUCCAUCAAACGACCACAUAAUAACCUCUCUUAAUCAUAAUUUUGUUGUUUAAUUUUUGAAUUAGGACAAUAAGCAUUUACAGAGGCCUCUCCUCAGC